rnacentral:rRNA from 1 species
GUUAUGCCGUAUAGUGGAUAACUCGGCUCAAGUCCCGAUGAAGAGCGUGGCAAGCUGCGAAAAGCCUGGGGGAGACGCAUGCAGUCUUCGAUCCCAGGAUUCUUGAAUUACUCCGAAAGGAGGGGGAACCCAGGAAAGUAAAGCAUUUCAGUACCUGGAGGAAAAGAAAUCAACCGAGAUGCCGUUAGUAGGGGCGACCGAAACCGGUAUAGGACAAACCGAAUUUCGCACGGUAACGUGUGAAAGAUGUGGGGUUGUUGCGGCCCGAGUACAACCGUUUUUUGCGAGCAAAAGUCUGUUGGAAAACAGUACCAUAGAGCGUGACAGUCGCGUACGCGAAGCAAAGAAAGGUUGAGUCUUGGGUACCGAGAGUAGUGUGCAUUGGAUUUUGCGCACAAACCUGCGGGUCAUUAACCUGCAAUCCUAAACAGUUCUUGAGACCGAUAGCGCACGAGUACCGUGAGGGAAAGUUGAAAAGUACCCCUGGCGGGGGAUGAAAGAACACUUGAAACUAUGCGGCUAUACCUUGGAUAGGCAUGAAAGAAGCGACGUUGCACGAAGGAAACAAUCGCAAGAUUGCAGUACGAGUGCGACCGAUCAGUGUCUUUCCGUCCGUCUUGAGUCACGGGCUGGGGAGUUGCAUUGCUGUGGCAAGACUAAUUCCAUCAUGGAAGGAGUCGAAGCGAAAGCGAAUCCGCGCAACCGCAAGGCGAGGCGGAAAGUAUUCAUCGUGCUUGAUAGUCACAGCAUUCAGACCUGAAACCCGUUGCGAACUAUUCCUGAGCAGGUUGAAGCCAUUCUUCCGAGUGGCGGAAGACCGUCUCCAGUUCUAGUCUAACUGUUUGGGUGACUUGGGAAUAGAUGUAAUAGGCUAUUCGAGCCGGGUAAUAGCAGGCUCCUCCUGAACGAUCUCUUAGGAUCGCUUGGCUAGAGUGAGUGCAUGGUGUAGAGAUACUGACUAGAAAGUAACGGACCGAGAGGUUUGGCUUUUUUGUCAAACUCCGAAUCUAUGCACAACGAAGAAAGCCAGAGUCGGGGGCACCGAGUAAGUUGGUGCUCCGAGAGGGGAAAAACCCAGACUCAGGUUAAGGCCCAUAAAUGCCAGUUAAGUGUGAAUAAUCAAAAAGCGUCCUUUUCCUUAGACAGUGGGGAGGUUGGCUUAGAAGCAGCCAUCCUUUAAAGAAUGCGUAACAGCUCACCCAUCGAGGGAAAGGGUCUUGAAGAUAAACCGGGCUAAAACUGGCUGCCGAAACCUGGGGCCAGCAAUUUUUAAUUGCUGUUGCAGUAAGGAGGUGCUCGGAUGGAGAUAAAGCAAGGUUGUGAAAUCUUGUGAAUCCGUUUGAGAUAUGGAUCCCAGUGCUAGUAGCAACAAAGAAACAUGAGAAUUGUUUCCGCCGAAAGAGCAAGGCUUCCUUAGCGCUAAUCAUUAGCUAAGGGUUAGUCGGUCCUAAGGCAACCCGUAAUUCGGUGUUUGCCAAAUCGGGAAAUCGGUUCAUAUUCCGAUACCAUUCAACUACGUUUUCGGCAACGAAAGGCAAUUUUUCGACGUUUUGGGCUAGGUUGCGCGCACUCGUCUGUGCGUUUAAGCAUUAUAAAUCCAUGGAGAAUCGUAAGGAUGAGAAGCGGAUUAAAGAUGCGAAUAGCCGAAAGGUGCAAUCAAGGCCUGGAACCCAUGAAAAGAAAAAUUGCAAGGACGUUGAAUGACCGUACCUAGAACUGAGAAAGGUGCUCUGGCUGAAAAGGCUAAGGCGUGUCAAGAUUAAAACUGUCAAGGGAACUCGGCAAAUUAGCCCUGUAUCUUAGGUAUAAGGGGUGCCAGCAACUGAUACUUGCUGGUUGCAAUAACAAGGGGAGUCCGACUGUUUACCAAAAACACAGCUGACUGCGAGUCCGCAAGGAUUAGAAUAGUCAGUGACUUCUGCUCACUGCCAGUACGUGAAACCCGGUUCCAACCGGUCUAAGCGCUGGUGAAGAGCGGGCCUAACUCUGAGGCUCUCACGGUAGCGUAAUACCUUGUCGCUUGAUUGGCGACUUGCACCAAGGAAGUAACGAGAUUCCCACUGUCCCUGACAGUUGCUUGGCGAACUCACUAUGUGGUGAAUAUGCCACAGUCUCCCAACGGGAAGAGAAGACCCCACGGAGGUUUACUACAGCCUGUUGUUGUGGUUUUGUUUUCGUUGCAUAGCGUAGCUGGGAGCGUCGAUGCCAAUCCUUUGGGGUUGGCGGAGCGACCAUGUAACACCAGCCUUCGGAAACGAAAUCGCUUACCGCGCAAGCGGGACACCAAUAGGUGGGUAGUUAGACUGGGGCGGUACACCCCCGAAAAAAUAUCAGGGGUGCCCAAAGGUCUGCUCAGCCGAGUCAGAAAUUCGGCGUAGAGCGCAAGAGCAAAAGCAGGCUUGACCAUGUUCCGCACAGCAAGGAACGUGGAAAGGAAACUUGGGUCUAGCGAACAUCAGUGUCCUCAUUAAUGGGGGCCUGGUCUGACAGUGAACUUACCCUGGGGGUAACUGAGUGGUCGUGGGUGAGAGUCCACAUCGACCCCACGGAUUGCGACCUCGCCGUCGUCUCAACGCAUCCUGGCUGUGCACAAGCAGCCAAGGGUGGAGGUGUUAACUCAUUAAAGCGUUUCGUUAGUUGGGUUAAGAACGGUGCGAGCCAGUUUGGUUACUAUCUGUUGGGAGUGCUGAUUGCCUGAGAGUAAGAUCCCUUUAGUACGAGAGGAACAGGGGGUCGCUGCCACUGGUGUACCAGUUGUCUGACAAGGCAUUGCUGGGUAGCCACGCAGUAAUGGAUAAGAGCUGAAAGCAUCUAAGCUCGAAACCACGCUCAAAAAUAGGCAAUCAUUUCCGAAACCGAUUCUGUUGCGACAGAGUUGGCGUAGGAACAAGGUCGUGCCCUAAAAUAGGCGCUUGAUAGACUGCAUGUGUACGCACCAAGCUUCGGCGAGGUGUUCAGCAUAGCAGCACUAAACGACCAAGGGGACCAGCU